GAUGAACGCUGGCGGCGUGCCUAAUACAUGCAAGUCGAGCGAACGGACGAGAAGCUUGCUUCUCUGAUGUUAGCGGCGGACGGGUGAGUAACACGUGGAUAACCUACCUAUAAGACUGGGAUAACUUCGGGAAACCGUAGCUAAUACCGGAUAAUAUUUUGAACCGCAUGGUUCAAAAGUGAAAGACGGUCUUGCUGUCACUUAUAGAUGGAUCCGCGCUGCAUUAGCUAGUUGGUAAGGUAACGGCUUACCAAGGCAACGAUGCAUAGCCGACCGGAGAGGGGGAUAGGCCACCUGGGAACUGAGACACGGUCCAGGCGCCUACGGGAGGCAGCAGUAGGGAAUCUUCCGCAAUGGGCGAAAGCAUGACGGAGCAACGCCGCGUGAGUGAUGAAGGUCUUCGGAGCGUAAAACUCUGUUAUUAGGGAAAAACAUAUGUGUAAGUAACUGUGCACAGCUUGACGGUACCUAAUCAGAAAGCCACGGCUAACUACGUG
rnacentral:rRNA from 1 species